UGGGGAAUAUUGGACAAUGGGCGAAAGCCUGAUCCAGCCACGCCGCGUGAGUGAUGAAGGCCUUAGGGUUGUAAAGCUCUGUCGUGAGGGAAGAAGAUCUGACGGUACCUCACAAGAAAGCACCGGCUAACUCCGUGCCAGCAGCCGCGGUAAUACGGAGGGUGCAAGCGUUGCUCGGAAUUACUGGGCGUAAAGCGCACGCAGGCGGUUUAUCAGGUCGGAUGUGAAAGCCCAGGGCUCAACCCUGGAACUGCAUUCGAAACCGGUAGACUUGAGUUCGAGAGAGGGUGGUGGAAUUCCUGGUGUAGAGGUGAAAUUCGUUGAUAUCAGGAGGAACACCGGUGGCGAAGGCGACCACCUGGCUCGAUACUGACGCUCAUGUGCGAAAGCGUGGGGAGCAAACAGG
rnacentral:rRNA from 1 species